rnacentral:rRNA from 1 species
CCUACGGGAGGCAGCAGUCGGGAAUAUUGCACAAUGGAGGAAACUCUGAUGCAGUGACGCCGCGUGCAGGAAGAAGGUUUUCGGAUUGUAAACUGCUUUAGACAGGGAAGAAACAAGACAGUACCUGUAGAAUAAGCUCCGGCUAACUACGUGCCAGCAGCCGCGGUAAUACGUAGGGAGCAAGCGUUAUCCGGAUUUAUUGGGUGUAAAGGGUGCGUAGACGGGUAUAUAAGUUAGUUGUGAAAUCCCUCGGCUCAACUGAGGAACUGCAACUAAAACUGUAAAUCUUGAGUGCGGGAGAGGAAAGUGGAAUUCCUAGUGUAGCGGUGAAAUGCGUAGAUAUUAGGAGGAACACCAGUGGCGAAGGCGACUUUCUGGACCGUAACUGACGUUGAGGCACGAAAGUGUGGGGAGCAAACAGGAUUAGAUACCCUUGUAGUC